AAAGUUGUUGCAGUUAAAAAGCUCGUAGUUGAACUUCAGAUCUGGCUGGGCGGUCUGCUUAACGGCGUGUACUGUCUGGCUGAGUCUUACCUCUUGGUGAGCCGGCGUGCCCUUUAUUGGUGUGCGUUGGGGAACCAGGACUUUUACCUUGAGAAAAUUAGAGUGUUCAAAGCAGGCAUUUGCCCGAAUACAUUAGCAUGGAAUAAUAAAAUAGGACGUGCGGUUCUAUUUUGUUGGUUUCUAGAGUCGCCGUAAUGAUUAAUAGGGAUAGUUGGGGGCAUUGGUAUUGAGUCGCUAGAGGUGAAAUUCUUGGAUUGACUCAAGACCGACUAUUGCGAAAGCAUUUGCCAAGGAUGUUUUCAUUAAUCAAGAACGAAGGUUAGGGGAUUGAAAACGAUCAGAUACCCUCUUGGAGGAGGCCCUGUGGGGGGUCUU
rnacentral:ncRNA from 1 species